CCGAAUAUCGAAAUCUAUGUCUACGGGGAGAGCAGUACGGAAUUCCACAAUCGAAACAAGUGAAACACCGGAGAUUACAAUCACUCGAGUACUCAAACACACUCUCGGUGUUUCUCAAUCUUAAAUUACACCCAAAUAAUUUAUACAGUAUUUAGCUCAUCAUAAUUCUUAAUGAAACCUCACUCAAGGAAUUAAAUAAAUUCUACUAAUAAGAAUUUAAUUGACUAAAACACUUGAAUAUAAUUACAACGAGAAAAUUCCUCUCAUAAGAGAACUCUCUGUACUCUUAUACGCUCUCAAAGCUCUCUCUCGACUACUGAAAUAACUCCGCGCCAUCAUCUCCUUCGCUCCUCUGACUUUUAUAGAGAAUCCAUCUCAACAGAUGGGCUUCACACGGCUUCCUCUUUUUGGCUUGGCAUGUUGGAGUCAUUCUUCACGUGAAAGAAAAAAUGGGCGUAUGAGCCUUUCUUUUCUUCUCUCUUUGACUCCUGCAAUGAAUGCCAUCAUUGUACAUUUUUUCAUGCACGCCAACUCGCAGCUCUCUUGAAUAAGUCCAGCCUGAGCAUUAUUCUCCCUAGCACUUCAGACGAAUAACAAAAGACAAAUAACUUUUAUUUGCAUCAAAUACGAUGAGUAAUUUUGGACUUUCCCUCUUAAGGCUGCACACUUCAUUCUGUCCACAUUCCUCAUUCUUGAACGAGGCAUGUGCAUAGUAAUUAUUGCACGAAUAAACAAAGUGAAAAAGGCGUUCUACAAAAAUUACUCGGUUUAAUUUGAAAUGUUGAAAUGCGAGACAUAUUUUAACAAUAUAAAAGGAGACAAAGAAGAGGUUAUGGAGAAGGCCACGCAUUCAAUAUAAGGCCACAUAUUGAAUACAUGACCACAAUUAAAGAGAAAAUUGAGAGGAAAAGACGGGAGAUGCUUUGAAAGCUUUUGCAGAAAAGACAACACGCGAGAGAGAGGGUUGUCAUACUCCUUGGGGCGUGACUCGUCUGACAACAAACGCUGCACUAUUUCAUAAUCCAUGGAACGUCCAUACAUGUGGAUAGAAGAAAAAAAUGGGGCGUAUGAGCCUUUCUUUUCUUCUCUCUUUGACUCCUGCAAGGAAUGCCAUCAUUGUACAUUUUUUCAUGCACGCCAACUCGCAGCUCUCUUGAAUAAGUCCAGCCUGAGCAUUAUUCUCCCUAGCACUUCAGACGAAUAACAAAAGACAAAUAACUUUUAUUUGCAUCAAAUACGAUGAGUAAUUUUGGACUUUCCCUCUUAAGGCUGCACACUUCAUUCUGUCCACAUUCCUCAUUCUUGAACGAGGCAUGUGCAUAGUAAUUAUUGCACGAAUAAACAAAGUGAAAAAGGCGUUCUACAAAAAUUACUCGGUUUAAUUUGAAAUGUUGAAAUGCGAGACAUAUUUUAACAAUAUAAAAGGAGACAAAGAAGAGGUUAUGGAGAAGGCCACGCAAUUCAAUAUAAGGCCACAUAUUGAAUACAUGACCACAAUUAAAGAGAAAAUUGAGAGGAAAAGACGGGAGAUGCUUGAAAGCUUUUGCAGAAAAGACAACACGAGAGAGAGAGGGCUGUCUUCCUCCCUGGGGCGUGACUCGUCUGACACAAACGCUGCCUCUAUUUCAAAAUCCAUGGCCGUCCAUACAUGUGGAGAGAAGAAAAAAUGGGCGUAUGAGCCUUUCUUUUCUUCUCUCUUUGACUCCUGCAAUGAAUGCCAUCAUUGUACAUUUUUUCAUGCACGCCAACUCGCAGCUCUCUUGAAUAAGUCCAGCCUGAGCAUUAUUCUCCCUAGCACUUCAGACGAAUAACAAAAGACAAAUAACUUUUAUUUGCAUCAAAUACGAUGAGUAAUUUUGGACUUUCCCUCUUAAGGCUGCACACUUCAUUCUGUCCACAUUCCUCAUUCUUGAACGAGGCAUGUGCAUAGUAAUUAUUGCACGAAUAAACAAAGUGAAAAAGGCGUUCUACAAAAAUUACUCGGUUUAAUUUGAAAUGUUGAAAUGCGAGACAUAUUUUAACAAUAUAAAAGGAGACAAAGAAGAGGUUAUGGAGAAGCACACGCAAUUCAAUAUAAGGCCACAUAUUGAAUACAUGACCACAAUUAAAGAGAAAAUUGAGAGGAAAAGACGGGAGAUGCUUGAAAGCUUUUGCAGAAAAGACAACACGAGAGAGAGAGGGCUGUCUUCCUCCUGGGGCGUGAGUCGUCUGACACAAACGCGGCCACUAUUUCAAAAUCCAUGGCCGUCCAUACAUGUGGAGAGAAGAAAAAAUGGGCGUAUGAGCCUUUCUUUUCUUCUCUCUUUGACUCCUGCAAUGAAUGCCAUCAUUGUACAUUUUUUCAUGCACGCCAACUCGCAGCUCUCUUCAAUAAGUCCAGCCUGAGCAUUAUACUCCCUAGCACUUCAGACGAAUAACAAAAGACAAAUAACUUUUAUUUGCAUCAAAUACGAUAAGUAAUUUUGGACUUUCCCUCUUAAGGCUGCACACUUCAUUCUGUCCACAUUCCUCAUUCUUGAACGAGGCAUGUGCAUAGUAAUUAUUGCACGAAUAAACAAAGUCAAAAAGGCGUUCUACAAAAAUUACUCGGUUUAAUUUGAAAUGUUGAAAUGCGAGACAUAUUUUAACAAUAUAAAAGGAGACAAAGAAGAGGUUAUGGAGAAAGCCACGCAAUUCAAUAUAAGGCCACAUAUUGAAUAGAUGACCACAAUUAAACAGAAAAUUGAGAGGAAAAGACGGGAGAUGCUUGAAAGCUUUUGCAGAAAAGACAACACGCGAGAGAGAGGGUUGUCAUACUCCUUGGGGCGUGACUCGUCUGACACAAACGCUGCCACUAUUUCAUAAUCCAUGGACGUACAUGUAUGGGCGUAUGAGCUUUUCUUNNNNNNNNNNNNNNNNNNNNNNNNNNNNNNNNNNNNNNNNNNNNNNNNNNNNNNNNNNNNNNNNNNNNNNNNNNNNNNNNNNNNNNNNNNNNNNNNNNNNNNNNNNNNNNNNNNNNNNNNNNNNNNNNNNNNNNNNNNNNNNNNNNNNNNNNAAAUACGAUGAGUAAUUUUGGACUUUCCCUCUUAAGGCUGCACACUUCAUUCUGUCCACAUUCCUCAUUCUUGAACGAGGCAUGUGCAUAGUAAUUAUUGCACGAAUAAACAAAGUGAAAAAGGCGUUCUACAAAAAUUACUCGGUUUAAUUUGAAAUGUUGAAAUGCGAGACAUAUUUUAACAAUAUAAAAGGAGACAAAGAAUAGGUUAUGGAGAAGGCCACGCAAUUCAAUAUAAGGCCACAUAUUGAAUACAUGACCACAAUUAAAGAGAAAAUUGAGAGGAAAAGACGGGAGAUGCUUGAAAGCUUUUGCAGAAAAGACAACACGAGAGAGAGAGGGCUGUCUUCCUCCCUGGGGCGUGAGUCGUCUGACACAAACGCUGCCACUAUUUCAAAAUCCAUGGCCGUCCAUACAUGUGGAGAGAAGAAAAAAUGGGCGUAUGAGCCUUUCUUUUCUUCUCUCUUUGACUCCUGCAAUGAAUGCCAUCAUUGUACAUUUUUUCAUGCACGCCAACUCGCAGCUCUCUUGAAUAAGUCCAGCCUGAGCAUUAUUCUCCCUAGCACUUCAGACGAAUAACAAAAGACAAAUAACUUUUAUUUGCAUCAAAUACGAUGAGUAAUUUUGGACUUUCCCUCUUAAGGCUGCACACUUCAUUCUGUCCACAUUCCUCAUUCUUGAACGAGGCAUGUGCAUAGUAAUUAUUGCACGAAUAAACAAAGUGAAAAAGGCGUUCUACAAAAAUUACUCGGUUUAAUUUGAAAUGUUGAAAUGCGAGACAUAUUUUAACAAUAUAAAAGGAGACAAAGAAUAGGUUCUGGAGAAGGCCACGCAAUUCAAUAUAAGGCCAAAUAUUGAAUAGAUGACCACAAUUAAAGAGAAAAUUGAGAGGAAAAGACGGGAGAUGCUUGAAAGCUUUUGCAGAAAAGACAACACGCGAGAGAGAGGGUUGUCAUACUCCCUGUGGCGUGACUCAUCUGACACAAACGCUGCCACUAUUUCAUAAUCCAUGGACGUCCAUACAUGUGGAUAGAAGAAAAAAUGGGCGUAUGAGCCUUUCUUUUCUUCUCUCUUUGACUCCUGCAAGGAAUGCCAUCAUUGUACAUUUUUUCAUGCACGCCAACUCGCAGCUCUCUUGAAUAAGUCCAGCAUGAGCAUUAUUCUCCCUAGCACUUCAGACGAAUAACAAAAGACAAAUAACUUUUAUUUGCAUCAAAUACGAUGAGUAAUUUUGGACUUUCCC
rnacentral:lncRNA from 1 species